CCGGGCGAGCGAAGGCUGCGGGCCGUUCGGUGCAUUUCCUUCCGUUCGAACUACGCUGCGACCGGUCUGGUCACUGAAAGUUGUCUGUCUUUGACAGCGGGCGAUGGAAGGUGGCCGGCGAUGAUUCUCUCUCGGGGGAAAUGUCGCCGGUGCUUAUUAGCCAGCUCGUUUUACGAGUGAGCGAUCACCAGACCGGGGACGAUUUUAGCCCUGUGCGGGCUACGCCGAACCCUCCCGAUUCGUCGGGAGCGUUGCGUCGGGACUGGAAGCGUUGGCGGUUAGGGGUUUCACCUUUGUGUGGGCUUCUGCCGUCGAUCUCCGUAAGCUCUCGUCGUACUCGCCGCGGUUCAGGUGGUCAGCAGCGAGUAGGUCGGUAACCCACCGACCCGUCUUGAAGCACGGACCAAGGAGUCUAACAUGUGCGCAAGUCAUUGGGUCUUGAAUAGGCCCAAAGGCGUAAUGAAAGUAAAGGCCGGUUCCGCCGGCUGCCUUGGGAUCCCCCGGACUUCGCGUUCGGGGGCGCACCAAGGGCCCGUCCCUUUCGCCUCGUCGACGGGGCGGAGCAAGAGCGUACACGUUGGGACCCGAAAGAUGGUGAACUAUGCCUGGGCAGGACGAAGCCAGAGGAAACUCUGGUGGAGGUCCGCAGCGAUUCUGACGUGCAAAUCGAUCGUCAGACCUGGGUAGGGGCGAAAGACUAAUCGAACCAUCUAGUAGCUGGUUCCCUCCGAAGUUUCCCUCAGGAUAGCUGGCACUCGGAGGAUGCAGUCUCAUCCGGUAAAGCGAAUGAUUAGAGGCCUUGGGGUCGAAAAGACCUCAACCUAUUCUCAAACUUUAAAUGGGUGAGAAGUCCGGUUUGCUCGACUGAAGCCCGGACGGCAACUUGGAUGUGAGUGCCAAGUGGGCCACUUUUGGUAAGCAGAACUGGCGCUGUGGGAUGAACCAAACGCCGGGUUAAGGGGCCCGAUGCAAGACGCUCAUGAGAUCCCAUGAAAGGUGUUGGUUGCUAUAGACAGCAGGACGGUGGCCAUGGAAGUCGGAAUCCGCUAAGGAGUGUGUAACAACUCACCUGCCGAAGCAACUAGCCCUGAAAAUGGAUGGCGCUUCAGCGUCGACCCCAUACCCGGCCGCUGCGGCCGAAAAGCCUUUGUGUUUUAAGCCGCAGUGAGUAGGAGGGGCGCAGAGACGAGCGUCGAAGGUGCCGGGCGUAAGCCCGCCUGGAGCCGUCUCUGGCGCAGAUCUUGGUGGUAGUAGCAAAUACUCAAGUGAGAACCUUGAGGACUGAGGUGGAGAAGGGUUCCAUGUGAACAGCAGUUGAACAUGGGUCAGUCGGUCCUAAGGGAUAGGAGAAAUCCGUUCCGAAGCGAGACCUCUCAUUCGCAAGUCUCGCUUAUGACCGAAAGGGAAUCGGGUUAAUAUUCCCGAACCCGGACACGGAGAUCGUCCCCUUCGGGGGUACAUUGCGGUAACGCAAACGAGCUCGAAGACGUCGACGGAAGUCCCGGAAAGAGUUGUCUUUUCUUUGUAAGGAUUCGACUCCCUGGAAUCGGCUCGCCCGGAGAUAGGGAUGGUGUUUCCGUAAAGCACCGCGCCUCUUGCGGUGUCCGGAGCGCUUCCGUCGGCCCUUGAAAAUUCGAGUGAGAGAUAGUGAUUUUCGUGCCGGACCGUACCCAUAUCCGCAGCAGGUC
rnacentral:rRNA from 1 species